rnacentral:rRNA from 1 species
CUCGUAGGCGGCCAGCUAAGUCGGACGUGAAAUCCCUCGGCUUAACCGGGGAACUGCGUCCGAUACUGGAUGGCUUGAGUUUGGGAGAGGGAUGCGGAAUUCCAGGUGUAGCGGUGAAAUGCGUAGAUAUCUGGAGGAACACCGGUGGCGAAGGCGGCAUCCUGGACCAACACUGACGCUGAUGAGCGAAAGCCAGGGAGCAAACG